rnacentral:misc_RNA from 1 species
AACUGAUACUACCUGCGGGAACCUGCGGAGGGAUCAUUACAGUGCUCGUCGGGACGUCUCACCCUCCCCGGGUGCUGACGUCUCGCACCUGCCCCACCCGUGUCUACCUUUCCCUCUGUUGCUUCGGCGGGCCCGCUCAAGGACAUACCCACAUAUUGGGUAUGUUUGGUGGCGGACCGGGGGCUCCACCCCUGGCCAGCGCCCGUCAGAGGACCUUUUUGAACCCUUUGUGAAUAUACG